UGAUUCACAAAAAGGUUGUGUAUGCUAUAACGUACUCUGGAAGACUUGUUGCAGAAAGAAAACUCAUGGUUAUGCAAAUGAUGACAGUUAUAAAGCGGUAAACACACAGGAAAAGCGAUAAACAAAUCACCAACAAAAUAGGAAACAAGACAAACAAAGCAAAUAAACAAAGCAAAUAAAGAAAACAAACACCUCAACCGAAUAUCCUAAAAGCCAACAAGAUCAAGUAUCAACUCGAACCUGCAACUCCCCGAUAGAUUCGUCAAAGCUAUCACACCCCUUUUUUACCUCACUAACCUUCUUAAAAUUAACAAAAAGAUUUGGAAAGCUCAAAAGGGUUUUCAAUUGGAAUAUAACAAAAAACAAUGUUCAAAAGGACUUUUUAGAGUUGCCACCUAACAUUUGAUUUCGGUGUAUCAGGUCACUGUUUUUAGAAAUAAUUUUUCCUUUUAAAACACUUUAGACUCCAAAACUAAGUCUGCACCAGAGAUUCAGGUAAGAUCAAUUGACUCGGGGAGAAUGUGUUAGGCAUUCCCCGAGUCCCGUGGAAAUCACGGUUGCGUACCCGAUCUAAUUGGCUUUCAGAAAUAUUCAAAUUGAGGUAGAAACACACAAAAAGAAAAAAUAAACAUAGAAGAGGCUCGAGAUUGCCCCACCUAAUAAAAGAAAAAUAAAAAAAAAUAAAAUAAUAAAAAGUAAAAUCCUAAGCUAACCUACACUAUACUUCCUCCACGGUAUAGUUUCGGCCUCCGUUUACAUUCACCUCGGGGCAUACCCCUGAUAAAAGAAUAUAAAAUAUAUAUAUAUAUAUAUAUGUAUGUGUGUGUGUACAAACUCUACGGGCAUUCCCCUAGAUAUAAACUAAAGGGAACGACCUCUUACCUCGAGUAAAAUAAAGGACAAGACCUAAAGUUGCCUACCCGAGUGAUGACGACCUAACAUGCUCCAAGCAGUUUAAUUAAUAAGAGUUAGAAUAAAAGAAGUGAUAAAACAUUUUAAAACCCAGUCCAGUAUGAUUUUAAUUUUUAGUCCAAACCCACAGCCCUAGACCUUUCAAACAUCCAAGCAAUCAUCUAAUCUACUCAACUUUGUUAACUUAAUUUUCCAUCACUAUACUAUUAAUCCUAAAACCUCGAAACAUUUACCUUUUAAUAAAGCAUUGCAAAUGAAACUUCAAGUUUACUUUAUCUUUUAAGAAUUCAUCCGAAUAUAAAAAUAUAUGGAAGAAACACACGAACAAUAAUCAAAAGAAGGGAAAAAAACGCAAACAAAUUCUACUAAGGCAUCACGAGCAAAAUGAAACAUUAAUUCAAAAGAUCAACAAAACACAUCAAAGAGAGAUUAACGAGAUUGGAAGCAAUGAAUUAAGCCAAAAAAUAGUACAAGAAAGGGAGAAAUAAACCUCGAAUAGAUUUGAAAUUUGACUGUUGGACAGUUUGACGAUACUAAGCAAUGGAACCGUGAAUAAGAUCUAAACCGGAAAACCUCGCUGGAAACCUCGUCGAACUCUGACCGGACUGCCUCGCUACCUCCCUUUACUCAGAUCUGAGCGUCCGCUCCUCCAUCAAAUUCUCACUUUGUUUUUGCGACCUCUUGUUGCACUCUCUCACGUUGCUGCUGCUGGUUUCCGGCGAACUCUGUGGCGUUGCUGGGAAAAGAGGGGUCUUUGAGAGAUGGGUGUGGCUAAAGCUUUUUAAGAGAGGGGUGGAGGUUGCAGCAUGGAGAAGAUGGCAAUAGCAGUAGUGGUUGUUGAUGGUUGUCGGAUUUCCGGCGAUUUGGUGUGGAUGGAGAUGGGUUUGAUAGGGGUGGCUGAUGUGCGGCGUCUGUGAGGUGAGGGAGGAAAGGUUGGAUGCAGCUAGGUUUUCUCU
rnacentral:lncRNA from 1 species